rnacentral:miRNA from 1 species
AAGGGGCUAGUGUGGAAGAGC